GGUGCCACAUCUCCCCUGCCCCCCACCUCAAUCCAGUGCCAUUUCCCCUCCUGCCCUCCAUUCUCCUGCUCACCACUGGAGAUCUUUUUAAAUAGACUUUUAAAAAAAUAGCUGUAGUGGAUAUAUUGCUAUAAUGUUAAACAAGUAUAGCAAUAUAUGAACUACCAUUUUUUUAAAAAACAGACAAAAAAACCCUACUGGAGGUAGAGCAAGGGGAAAUGGCAAACAUAAGGCGAAAGAUUAGGAAAUCAACUUCAUUUUUCAGUGGACUGCAGCAUUAUGUACCAGUAUGCUGUGACACUUCUCCUGCUUCCCUUCUUGUUCUAGAAAAUGAGGUGCUGGAUUACUGCAGAUGCCAUGCUGGAACCAUGCAGGUUAAGCAGUCAGUCCUCAGUGCACAUUGCCUUACUUCAUGGAAGAUCUUGUAUGAGAUGCGCAAGCUGGCCACAAAGCUUGGAGAAAAUAACACUUGGUCUCAGAAACUCCAGUUCUGAUAGAAGCUGAUGAAUCCUUGUUGCUGUUAAAAAACAAUGUGGCCUAACAGAGGAAAGAAAGCUAGUGCUCAGACAGUAGUGAGAUGGGCGGUACAGGGAAUCACAGAAUACCUCGAUGAACAACAGUUACAGGCUGGCUCACCUAGCAUAAGGAGAAUUCUGAAGCAGAAAGCUACCAAGAACCAUCACUAAAGAGAAUUCCUGGCAGUUUUGUUCUUCUAGUUCCACGAGGCUAAAUUACAACUCUUUUCCCUGGUGCCAUGCAAAAGUGAACGUACAAGAUACCUUCAAGGAACUUACGGGCCUAAACUAAAGAGAGCAUCUUAAAUACAAAGAAGCACCAAAAUUGUGGUAUGAUCAGCAUAUCUGGGAAAAGAUAAGUGCAUUGUGAAGUAUUCAUGUGGAAAUAGCCAUCAAGCAGUCAUAUUUUGAAGAACAGAAGGAGAGACAGAUGGAGCAAAUAGAUAUAAUUGAAUACUGACUGCAUAAAAAUGGUACUGUAAAUGAAAUGAAGAAACACUAUGUAAUAAAGAAAAAAGGAGCACCAUCAAGAACAGAACCUUUAGGAACACCAGCAACAGAAGAAAAGGAAGACAAAUAUGAGCCAUUAACAGAACCGUAACAGAAAUGUUAGUAUUAUGCAGUUGAAAUGAUGAAAAGAGAGAACAAAUAAACAUAGUGAAUGAAGAAACAACAAAAGCAUAGCAUGAUCUAGUGCUCCACACAGAAGAGGGGUUCAAGAAUAAAAAUAAGUUGAAUUAAGCAGACCAAAAAGGAUCAGAAAGAGAGUUAGGUGGGAGAAAGGUACAUUACUGAGCAGCAGGGGGAAAAAAGAUUUUAUUUAUUUAGAAAAUUUUAUACUGCCUUUCCAGAAACUCGACCAGGGCAGCUUACAAAAAAAAUUAAAAACAAAAAGUUAAAAGGUAUUAAAAUCCGCUAUUAAAACUUUAGGAGCUUAGACAGAAAUAAAUGAGAAACAAGACAAUAGAUAGAAUGGAGGAUCCCCAUUUUUUUAAAAAAAAGGAACAGUGUUAGAUAAAUAAAAACAGACAGAAGAGCUACAGAAAAUUGCUAAAAUUAAAGCCUGACAAUCCUGGGUUUACAAGGACAAGAAAAGCACAUUUUAAAAAUGAAAUACAGCAUACUUUCAGCUUAUAGAUUCCAAGGAAGCUCACAUGCUACAAUAAUUUUAAAUUGAAGUUACCUGGAAAAAAUAUUAAGAUUACAAAGAAAUCAUGAAACCAAAUUAGAAUAUCUAGGGUGUACAUCCAACGUAAGGGAAUCAGGUGAAGAGUUUGAGCAUGUGUUAAAAAUAAAAAUGGUCCUAUAUUAGCAAUACCUUUACAAAGACUAAUGAAUGAAAGAGGGGGAGGGGAGGGGAGGAAAGCGCAAGAAAAGGAGGAAGCAGUGGAGGCUAUUGUUGGCAGAGAGAGAGAGGGAAUGAGUGAGAGCUCAGAGACAGCUGACACCACAGCGGGGGUGAGAGGGUGCUGUAAGCCCCCCUCCUCCCCCAUUCUGAGGCUCACCCUAGGCCUACCACCAGCCAGUAGGAGACAGCCUGGAGAGUGCACCCCCUCAGGCUCCGCCCAUCUGGGCAUGGAGCCUGACAAUAUAAAAACGUAUAGUGAACUAUUUAAGUACAUGAUGAUGGUGGCAAGAGUAGUAUUUGCAGCAAAAUGGAAGGCAGGAAAAUGUCCAGAUAUGAUGGAAUGGAAGACUAAGCUAUAUGAAUAUGCAUCAAUGACAAAAUUAACAUCUAUAUACACAAUAGGUCAAUUUCAGAAUUUCAAGAUAAAUGGAAAGUUUUUUUAUUGUAUACUUGAAAAUUAAUAAUUAAGAACAAUUGUUAUUAGAUAUGAAGACAGAUGGAAAGAUAUUUAAAUAAAAGUGAAAAAAUUAAGAAUAUAUAUAAGCAAGUUCUAUAUAGAUAUAUGAUUUAAUUGAUGAUAAUAUGCUUUAAAUGAUAGUAGUUUAUUACUUUUUUUUCUAUAUGAUCUAGACGAUGUGUUUAGGUUUUAAUGCAUGAUCUAGAUGAUCAUUGAUGAUAGUAGUAGUGGAUGAUUGUAGAGGUAUGACUUAGAUGUUUGGUUAUAGCUUAUGUUUUCUGUGUUUGAGUUUAUUGAUUGAAAUAAAAAAAAUUAAAAGAAAAAAUAAAAAUGGUCAGGAGAAUCAGUGUGAAGAUUAAAGUUACCAAGAAUAUUGAGAGCAGUUGAAUGAAUCAGAGAAGGAACCAGGCAAAUGAUGACUUAAAAGCAAAGAUUAAAAGGAGAAAAAGAUACAUGAAUUUCAAAACUCAUGAAGAAAUAGAAACAUGAAUGUGAAGAAGAAGGCAUACUGUCAGCACAAUCUAUGUCAAGUGGCUAGUGGAAGAAUAUACAAGAAAGAGUGGCAAGAAUUAUUUUGAGAGGGAGAGGCUCAUGCCUUCAUAAGGGCAAUACCGGUAAGUGAUUGGAUAGAGAGAACUUUAUUAACUGUUGAAUUGCAGUUCAAUAUGCCAAAGGAUGCUGCAGAAUGGAAAUGAAAUGAAGCAGUGAGCGUAAAUAAAAAACUGAAGUUAGGGGAGAUGUUAUCACCCAGGAACCAAAAGUAAAAAUACAACAAAUAUCUUGGAAAACAAAAAGAAAGAAACAGCACAGAUAACAAAAAAAAAUCUUAGAUAAGAGCACCAAAAAUACUGAAAUAGUCACAGUGGCCACAUAAGUUAUAGUUG